ACGGUCAAUGCAGAGUUGCUUUUAUCUUAUAGUGAUCAUUCUGACAAACUCAUUUUGAUACUUCGCUUGGCUGUAAUAACAGCUGUAGUUCUGACUGUGCCUGUCCUUCUGUUCACUGUCCGUUCUUCAAUUGUCUUGCUGGUGUUUAAAGGGAAAUUCAGAUGGCUCCAUCACUUUUUCAUUACAGUCCUUCUUCUCGCUGGCAGCAACGUUUUGGUGAUAUGCAUUCCAACGAUAAUGGAUGUAUUUGCUGUUAUUGGCUCGACUUCUGCUAACAUGCUGAUCUUCAUUCUUCCUGCUUCGCUAUAUUUAAAACUUGUGAAGAAUGAGCCUCAAAAUAGCUGGAAAAGAAUAGGGGCUAUGGCUUUUCUGGCGGUUGGGAUAAUAUUCAUGUUCAUCACUGUGCCAUUGAUCUUUGUUGAAUGGCACAAAAGAAGCAGCAACAAUACCAGCGCAGGCAGCUGCUCUGGUCAACAUUGAUAUUAGUAAUGGGAUGAAGACAAGGCAAGCUUUCUCAGCAACACAAGGCCUCUGAAGAUGCUUUGUUCAAAACAUUGUUUGGAUCAUCAGAAGUUACGACACUUCUUGGAUUUUUCAUUUGCAAAAUGGUCAUUACAGGAAAAGGUAGCCGUAUUAAAAUUUGGAUAAUGUGACUGUACACUCAGACAAUUCUGAAGCUGCAGUCUUCAUAGAUGGACGAUCAUAAGUAAAUUUUAGUUUUGCUCUUGUCUCAAAAUUUCAUAACUGUUUUGAAAAAAAAGCAUUUCCACUAUUAUAUUUGAACUUGCUAAUGAGCUCCUUGGAGUGUCAAGUAUUUCCUAAAAAUCUAAUUGUCAAUGUAUUUCUUGAAUAUCUUUUUUUCAGCUUUUUGGUAGCCCAUUUCAUUUUGAUUAGACAUUUUAAAAGUAGAUUUAUUUUCUUUGACCAAUACAAAGCCUAACCAUUUCUCCAUUAUCUAGUUUAAUAUGACAUUGUUGUGCUUUGGAGAAAUUAGUCUUAGGAACCAAUAAUAAAACAUGGUUGAAAUUAUGUCCUGAUGCACAAAUGGAUGAUAACUUAAUACAUUCCUCAUAAAUGCCUCUCUUUAUAGUAUUGGUGGAGACAAGAGCAUUUCUAGAUUACAAUUUAACUGUUACUGAAUUACACCAUUGUUAAUAGAGCAUGUUAAACUUAGAAUGGUUAUGGCACUGAAAGAGGUCAUUUGGGAAAGUGAGAGCGUCUAGGACGGAAGAGCAUAAUUUUACAAUAAGGAGAUCACAGAUUUAAAACAGAGAAUAGGAGAAAUUUCUUCCCUCAGAGGGUAGUGAAUCUGUGGAAUUUUUUUCCCACAGAUGGCUGUGGAGGCUGGGCCAUUAAAUACAUUGCAGGCUGAUAUGGAUUCCUUAUCAGUAAGGGCGUCAAGGGUUACAUAGAAAAGAUAGGAAGGUGGAGUUGAAGAUUAUCAGAUCAGUCAUGAUCUCAUUGAAUGGCUGACUUGAUGGGCUGAAUGGCCUACUUCUGCUCCUAUGUCUUACAGUCUUGGCCCUUCAUAUUUAUACUGGUUCUCUAAAAGAGCAGCUGAGCUGGACCCACUCCCUUGCCCGUUCUCUGUGGCCCUGCAUUUUUUUUUCUUCAGACACUUCCCUAAUUCCUCUUUGAGUCUGCUUCCGUCACAAUCUCAGGCAGUGCACUACAGAUACUAUCCACCCACAGUGUUACCAAGAAGUUUAAUGUUGUCUUUGCUUUUUUUUUGCUAGUCCCUACAGGUCCUCAAACCUUUCACUGAUAGAAACUAUUUUUCUCUACCUCCUGUGCCUGGACCCCUACCUCCUGUGCCUGGACCCCUUAUGACUUAUUGAUCAAAUCUUCACUGAACAUUCUCUGGAAGGAGAAUAAAUUCAGCUGUUCCAAUCACAUUUAUGUCAAAUAUAAUGCUGCAGACACUUUCACUGCCUACAAUUGUCCUCCUGAUUUUAAGUGUUAUUUUUGCAUCAGUUUUCUUUAGUUGUACUUGAAUAUGAACAUUUCUGGCAAGGCCAGUAUUUAGUGCCUGUUGUUGAUUAUCCUUGAGAAGGUGGUGGUGAUAAUGCAGUUCAUGAAAUAGUGAGUUGAAAAAUAAUCUCUAUAGUCACAAUCUUGGCUUAAUAUUAGCUGAGGCACCACGUUGAAGUUUGUUUCAACACAAGGACUGUUUCAGACAUUGCACAACCCAACGAUACAUUAUGACUGUGGAGUGUAAAUAUUCUGCACCUAUGACUCAGACGUACAGUUUAAAUCUGUAUUUUUUUAAUGUACAUGAAACAGUAUUCAUAUUGGAACAAUUUUCUUCUGAUAAGUAUACUAUUCAUCUUACAGUGUAUGUAAAGUCGGUAUCUCUCUGCAUACUUUGUAAAUUUUUUUAUGAUAUGAAUUUACUCUGUGAAAUAAUGAAUCUUACUUUAGCAAAAGAUCCUAAUUAGUGACCUAGACUCAAAGGUUUGAAAUGUUGCCAAGUACUUGAAUUUUAUUUAUGGCCAGUACAUGUGCAACAGGGGAACGAUUCUGAAUUUGAAAGAGCUAUGAUGCAGAGGUACCGGUGUUGGUCUGGGGUAGACAAAGCCAGACGUCACACCACACCAAGUAAUAGUCCAACAGAUUUAUUUGAAAUCACAAGCUUUCGGAUCGCUGCUCCUUCAUCAGGUGAAUUCUGAUGUUGUUCAAAAAAGCUGGCUUGUUUCAUUAAAACUGUGAGCAGUUUCCAUUGUUUGUGGAAUGUAAAAUGUAACAAAGUUAUGGCUUUAUUGUAAAGCAGAAGUAUUAUACUUUUUGUGAUAUGAACAAUAAAGAUAUACUGUAAAUAAUGCAAUAUA